rnacentral:rRNA from 1 species
GACGAACGCUGGCGGCGUGCUUAACACAUGCAAGUCGAACGGAAAGGCCCUGCUUUUGUGGGGUGCUCGAGUGGCGAACGGGUGAGUAACACGUGAGUAACCUGCCCUUGACUUUGGGAUAACUUCAGGAAACUGGGGCUAAUACCGGAUAGGAGCUCCUGCUGCGUGGUGGGGGUUGGAAAGUUUCGGCGGUUGGGGAUGGACUCGCGGCUUAUCCGCUUGUUGGUGGGGUAGUGGCUUACCAAGGCUUUGAAGGGUAGCCGGCCUGAGAGGGUGACCGGCGACAUGGGGACUGAGAGACGGCCCAGACUCCUACGGGAGGCAGCAGUGGGGAAUAUUGCACAAUGGGCGGAAGCCUGAUGCAGCAACGCCGCGUGCGGGAUGACGGCCUUCGGGUUGUAAACCGCUUUCGCCUGUGACGAAGCGUGAGUGACGGUAAUGGGUAAAGAAGCACCGGCUAACUACGUG